AACUAGCUGACACCAAUAAAGUCCCAGAACAGUUGAUUAAGUUUAAAUCUGUCACUUUUACCUGGGGGCGGGGGAAGGGGGGGAAACUGUAGGCUUAUGUGGUGAAAUAAACCAUUUAUUUCAAAACUAAACUUUGAAGUUUGAAAAUAAAAGAUAGAGUUAUGGCCCAGUACGCAAAGGGCUAUUCCAAACUGGAGGGCUCAUCUGAAUUUCAAAUGGUGAGUCACACCCUAAUACAGCUUUCCAGAUGGCUUAGUGGUAAAGAAUCCACCUGCCAAUGCAGGAGAUGCAAGAGACGUGGUUCAAUCCCUAGAAUGGGAAGAUCUCCUGGAGGAGGAAAUGGAAAUCCACUACAGCAUUGUUGCCGGGGAAACCCCAUGGACAGAGGAGCCUGGCAGGCUACAGUCCAUGGGAUCACAGGGAGCUGGACACAACACCCUAACAGGUUUUUUUGGACAGGAGGCAUGUGGGAUCUUACCUCCCUGAUCAGGGAUCAAACCUGCACCCCACGCAUUGGAAGGAAAAGUCUUAACCACUGGACCACCAGGGAACUCUUCUCUUUAUUAUUUUAAUAACAUUUCUAUACUUC
ensembl:lncRNA